rnacentral:ncRNA from 2 species
UGAAUAUUGCCAGGGAUAGGUGCCCGCAAGGGCUUAAUAGGGAAGUUUGGUGCAAAGCCAACACGGUCCCGCCACUGUAAUGGGGAGCAAUGCCGAGAUAUACCACUGGGACGAAGGUCCUGGGAAGGUUUGGCAAAGCCAUGAACCGCAAGUCAGGAGAACUGCCUGUCCGACAAUCGCCGU